GUGAUUCGAUCAACUUGACCUAUAUUCACAAUAAAAAAAGAGCGAAUUUACUAACACCAGUUGAUACAAAAGAGAGUACAAAGCACAAAAGAGAGUAAACAAACUUGAGAGUAUUUUCAUAUUUUCUAUUUGUCAUGGUAUCAGAAUGGUUACUUGCAUACAUUAUUCGUUACUUCCAGUCCUAGGUGUGAUCAUCAUUGCUGAAGCUUGGUAGGAAGGUCAGCCAUAGUAGAAGAUGGAGCUACUUAUAUCGGACAAUCGCAAGCGCGAAUAGAGUACAAUCACCCACUGUUUCUAUAGCCUAGUGAUACACCAGGAACUGUGCCCAUUGGAUUGAAAUUGAUGGGACCAGCAAAAUCCACAUUAUGGAGUCAUUUUCUCACAAUUGCGUUGUUAGGGAAGAACAAAGUAGGGUUCAUCGACGGAAGUUGUUUACAAAGCUUGUACAAAAGAGAUUUAGCGAUAUAGUGGGAUCAUUAUAAUGCUCUGGUAUUAUUGUGGAUAAGCUGCACAGUUACACCUGAGCUGGUUUCAACCAUUGUGUUGGCUUCUACUGCAAAGAAGAAAUAGGAUAAAAUCAAGGAGAGGUUCGACAAAUCGAUUUCUCAAGAGUUUAUCAAUUGUGGAGAGAAAUUGCAACUCAUACUCAAGGUACAGAUUCUGUUACAACCUAUUUCUCAAAGAUGAAAGAUUAUUAGGAUGGAUAGGAUCUGUUAGUACCUAUACCAUCUGCUUGUGAUUGUGUAUAAUCAGGUCCUUACAUUGCACAUUUGAACAAUCAAUGUUGGCCGUAAUUUCUUAUGGGUUCAAAUGAAAGUUAUAGCCAUGUGCGAAGUGACAUUCUGCUAAAAACCCCAAUUUUGCCCUUAAAUCAAGCCUAAGUUGUUGUUGUACAAGAAUAGAGUCGGUGAAUUUUAGGAGUGGCAGACAUCAAUAAAGAAUCCUUGAGUUUAUUUGCAGGACAAAGACAAGUUCAUAACUACAAGAAAAAGAAGCCUGGGAACAAUGAACACAAUAUACCUAGAGAUGCUUGUUGAAGUUAUGGUUAUAAGGGGCAUUUCACAGAAGAUUGCUACAGAAAUAUUGGUUAUCCAACGGACUUUAAGAGUAGGAGAAGAUGCAGGGGACUGAAGGGAGUAAAUCUGUCCAUCAUGCUACUGCUGAUGAACUAGACCCUAGUCCAAUAGUCAGUAUGAACAGUACAUGAAGCUUUAGGGAGAAGAGAAAUAGUUUUGACUAGACUAAAUGAAACCACAAGCAGCUACUAGUCCAAUAUGGCAGGUAUCAUUGCUUUGUUGUCUAAAAUAGAGGGAUAUGACUGGAUAGUGGAUUAUGGAGCAUCACAUCAUGUAACCUUUCUUAGAAAGGUACUAAAUGACCUUAAGUUCACCGAGAAUCACAGAAAUAAUGGAGUACAAUUAGUCAAUUACCAAUUGGUAGUAAGUGCGAAAUUACUCAUAGUAAACACAGUAAUAUUGAAGAACCAUACUCUUAAAAAAAAUAUGUUGUUUGUUCCAGAUUUCA
rnacentral:lncRNA from 1 species